rnacentral:rRNA from 1 species
ACUAGCAUAUCAAUAAGCGGAGGAAAAGAAACCAACAGGGAUUGCCCUAGUAACGGCGAGUGAAGCGGCAACAGCUCAAAUUUGAAAUCUGGCUCUCUUUGGGGGUCCGAGUUGUAAUUUGCAGAGGAUGCUUUGGCAUUGGCGGCGGUCUAAGUUCCUUGGAACAGGACAUCGCAGAGGGUGAGAAUCCCGUACGUGGGCGCCUGCCUUUGCCGUGUAAAGCUCCUUCGACGAGUCGAGUUGUUUGGGAAUGCAGCUCUAAAUGGGAGGUAAAUUUCUUCUAAAGCUAAAUACCGGCCAGAGACCGAUAGCGCACAAGUAGAGUGAUCGAAAGAUGAAAAGUACUUUGGAAAGAGAGUCAAAAAGCACGUGAAAUUGUUGAAAGGGAAGCGCUUGCAGCCAGACUUGCCCGCAGUUGCUCACCUAGGCUUUGGCCUGGGGCACUCUUCUGCGGGCAGGCCAGCAUCAGUUUGGGCGGUUGGAUAAAGGCCUCUGUCACGUAUCUCCCUUCGGGGUGACCUUAUAGGGGAGGCGUAAUGCAACCAGCCCGGACUGAGGUCCGCGCAUCUGCUAGGAUGCUGGCGUAAUGGCUGUAAGCGGCCCGUCUUGAAACACGGACCAAGGAGUCUAACAUCUAUGCGAGUGUUUGGGUGUCAAGCCCGGGCGCGCAAUGAAAGUGAACGGAGGUGGGAACCCUUUGGGUGCACCAUCGACCGAUCCUGAUGUCUUCGGAUGGAUUUGAGUAAGAGCAUAGCUGUUGGGACCCGAAAGAUGGUGAACUAUGCUUGAAUAGGGUGAAGCCAGAGGAAACUCUGGUGGAGGCUCGCAGCGGUUCUGACGUGCAAAUCGAUCGUCAAAUUUGGGCAUAGGGGCGAAAGACUAAUCGAACCAUCUAGUAGCUGGUUCCUGCG